rnacentral:rRNA from 1 species
UACGGGGGGGGCAAGCGUUGUUCGGAAUUACUGGGCGUAAAGGGCUCGUAGGCGGCCAACUAAGUCAGACGUGAAAUCCCUCGGCUUAACCGGGGAACUGCGUCUGAUACUGGAUGGCUAGAGAUUGGGAGAGGGAUGCGGAAUUCCAGGUGUAGCGGUGAAAUGCGUAGAUAUCUGGAGGAACACCGGUGGCGAAGGCGGCGUUCUGGACUGCAACUGACACUGAGGAACGAAAGCCAGGGGAGCAAACGGG